AGGAAGGCGGGGAUGACGUCAAGUCCUCAUGGCCCUUACAUCCCGGGCUACACACGUGCUACAAUGGCAGGUACAGAGGGCUGCGAAGCCGCGAGGUGGAGCGAAUCCCAGAAAACCUGUCUCAGUCCGGAUUGAAGUCUGCAACUCGACUUCAUGAAGGCGGAAUCGCUAGUAACCGCGAAUCAGCAGGUCGCGGUGAAUACGUUCCCGGGCCUU
rnacentral:rRNA from 1 species